GCAGCUGGACUGCCCCAGUUUCAAACACUACAGAUGGAAGUCUUGGCCCUCACCAGUCAUCAACUUGCAGAAAUCCCCGUGUCCCUUUGGGAAGUCGGUUGGGGAUGAGCGAAGUGGCCCUCCGGGAAAUCCCUGCAGGACAUCGUGCUGCUGCAGGCAACACAGGAAAUUGAGGAAAUAUUCAGAUAAGUUGGAAGUGGUCCUGCUGCACAAGAAUGAGAAAUUGCCCACGUGGUUCUGUGACAUUGUUCUUCAGCUGCAGUUCUUGGGAGAUCGCCGCAAUUGUUAA
rnacentral:lncRNA from 1 species